UUAAAAAUUAUAUUAAGUAUUUCUUUUAAAUUAUUAGCGAAGGUAUAUAAUAGAAGAAAGAUAAAAAGAAAAGGUAAAAACAAUUAAAAAGAAAAAGAAAACAAAAAAUAGAGAAGAGUAAGGAGUAAGUGGCGAGUAAUCCUAUCUUCUCAGUUCUCACUCCCUCCUCUGCGGCGCGACGCCAUAGAUAACCCUUGAAGGCUCGGCUACGACGGCCGACGACACUACUCCACCACUACUAUGAGCGGCGGUGCAGAAAAAAGCACCAAAAAUCGGUGAAAAAAGAACCUUAAGAAGAAGAAGGUGUGAGAGCACCUGGACAGAAAUACAGAAUCACAGAACACUUAAUAAGAUAUGUCUAGUAGUACACAACCAAUGUCAUCAACACCUCAUGGCUCAACUACUUCUCCAUUCAUAGUAGAAGAAUUUUAUGUCAACGACGAUGAUCGUGUGCUAUAUGUGAAUUUGGAAAAUGAGGAGGAACAAAGUGACCCACCCCUUUCAAAUGCAACUGGAAAUGAGUCGGAGCCUCAAAAGGAAAGUCAACCAUCAAAGAGAAAGAGAGCAAAAGUAUCUGAGGUUUGGAAAGAUAUGGAAUCGGUUAAAAAUAUGAAAACCAAGUGUAAGCAUUGUCAUCAAGUGUUAAGUGCUUCAGGUACAACUACUCACUUAAAGCGGCAGCUUAAAAGUUGUUUGAAAAAAAAAAAGAAUCAAAGACAACAAAAUAUGCUUAAUUUUUUGCCUUCGAAUCUAAAUGACGGUGAUCCUAGUUUUAAGUUUGUUAGCGCUUUACAUGAAGAAAGUUUGAUAUGAUGGUAAUGAGGGAAGGGAUAGCACAUUGGAUUUUGAUGCAUGAACAUGCUUUUUCCAUUGUUGAAGAAGAAGGGUUUAAUUUAAUGUUAAAAAGGGGAAUUCUACAAUGGACUAGUGUGUCACGUCACACUAUAAGAACUGAUUCUUUUAAAGUUUAUGAGGUGGAAAAAAAUAAAUAGAAGAAUUUGCUAAAAACUGUGGAGAAAAUUUCUCUAACUACUGAUUUAUGGCGUUCCAAGCCUCAAAAAAUUGAGUAUAUGGUUCUUACGGCUCAUUUUGUUGAUAAAAAUUGGAAGUUGCAAAAGCGGGUUCUCAACUUUGUCCACAUUCCUCCUCCUCGAAAAGGAAAGGACAUAGCCAAUUGCAUUUUUAAAUGUCUAAAGGAGUGGGGUAUUGAGAGCAAAGUAAGUUAUAGUCUUUUUUUCUUCAAAUUUAUUUA